rnacentral:lncRNA from 1 species
UAUGGAUUCAGAAUUGUCUAGGAACAUUGCUGAAGACAUGUUCAGAUAAGUACCUAAUAAGGCAGAUGAGAUUAGAUUAUUUAUAUUAUACUGUUAUGUAGUUUUUGAUUUUCCUAACUAGGUUAUAAACUUCCGUGUUCAAACAGCAUGUCAUCUUGCUUUCGUGUUAUCCUUAUAAUCACAAGGUUCAUUUUUAUUUUUUACUUGUAUAACAAUACACAGUAAUGAACAUUUCUUUUAUUAUAACAGAUAAACUAUUCCACUUUCCAACUCACCCUUUUUCUUGCUAUUCCUAAGAACAUUUCCUUAAACCUCAGACUUUGUUUUCCUCUUAUUAUUCCUUCUUCCUUCUUUACACACUUUGUGUUCAUGAGAUAGAUCCUCUCUAAUUUGCCUCAACCAAAUCUUACCACAUGAUUUCUGAAUGAUACACAGAGCAUCUUACUUUCUCCACAUCCUCAGGCUUUCUCACUAUCCAGGAAUGCAUUUUCCCCUCCCUGUGCAUUCUAUUCACCUCUUACCCAACUCAGGACCUAACCCCAGUGGUUCCCAUUUAUAAUCUUUUUUAAAAAUAUUUUAGUUGUAAAUGGACACAAUAUCUUUUUAUGUAAGUAUUUUUUAUGGUGCUGAGGAUAGAACUGGUGCCUCACACCUAUGAGGCAAUCCCUCUACCACUAAGCUACAGCCCCAGC